UGGGAAUUUUGGACAAUGGGCGAAAGCCUGAUCCAGCAAUGCCGCGUGUGUGAAGAAGGCCUUCGGGUUGUAAAGCACUUUUGUCCGGAAAGAAAUCCUUGGCUCUAAUACAGUCGGGGGAUGACGGUACCGGAAGAAUAAGCACCGGCUAACUACGUGCCAGCAGCCGCGGUAAUACGUAGGGUGCAAGCGUUAAUCGGAAUUACUGGGCGUAAAGCGUGCGCAGGCGGUUUGCUAAGACCGAUGUGAAAUCCCCGGGCUCAACCUGGGAACUGCAUUGGUGACUGGCAGGCUAGAGUAUGGCAGAGGGGGGUAGAAUUCCACGUGUAGCAGUGAAAUGCGUAGAGAUGUGGAGGAAUACCGAUGGCGAAGGCAGCCCCCUGGGCCAAUACUGACGCUCAUGCACGAAAGCGUGGGGAGCAAAACAGGAUUAGAUACCCUGGUAGUCCACGCCCUAAAACGAUGUCAACUAGUUGUUGGGGAUUCAUUUCCUUAGUAACUAGCUAACGCGUGAAGUUGACCGCCUGGGGAGUACGGUCGCAAGAUUAAAACUUAAAUGAAUUG
rnacentral:rRNA from 1 species